rnacentral:rRNA from 1 species
UACAGAGGUCUCAAGCGUUGUUCGGAUUCAUUGGGCGUAAAGAGCGUGUAGGCGGCCAGGUAGGUCUGCUGUGAAAACUCGAGGCUCAACCUCGAGACGUCGGCGGAAACCAUCUGGCUAGAGUCCGGAAGAGGAGAGUGGAAUUCCUGGUGUAGCGGUGAAAUGCGCAGAUAUCUGGAGGAACACCGGUGGCGAAGGCGGCAUCCUGGACCGGCAUUGACGCUGAGGCGCGAAAGCCAGGGGAGCAAACGGG